CGGUUGACAAGCGCACUCUGCCGAAGGUGUUGGCUCUCCACCUUAAAGGCGUCACGUUACCCCUGUGUUGUCUAGGCUCGGAUUGAUGCCCUGGUGGGAGUUGCUGAUCGGGCGAUCAAGGACCACAGGAGGUGAACGUCGUCAUGGCAACCAGUGGAAGCCCCGGAAUUGGAGGUGUCGGCUGUUGGGUCAUACUCCUCCUUGUAGGAGGUGCCAUGGUCUCCAGUUGUUGGGGGAUGACAGAAGGAAACGAACUUGAAGAGAUAUCAUUGUUUCAAACAGGAUGGAAGAACUCUGCCAACAACAGAACGCAAGAUGAUUCACUAGUGAUUGCAAACUAUGGCGAUGUGUGAACUGUUUUGCCAGACACCAUAUACCAGUAUUUACUAUGGGAUGUAAUGUCACUCUUCGUGCUAAGGUGAACAUGUGUAUCUAUAACAAGACUAGUAAAACAUGUAGUUCUAUUAAUGGAACUAACUGGGCUACUACCCUGAAGGAUAAAUUAUGAAUUAGUAACAGUACUGAAAUUAAAGGAAGAAGAACAUUCCUAUAUA